rnacentral:rRNA from 1 species
UACGUAGGGGGCAAGCGUUGUCCGGAUUUAUUGGGCGUAAAGAGCGUGUAGGCGGCCUGACAGGUCUGCUGUGAAAACUCGAGGCUCAACCUCGAGAUGUCGGCGGAAACCGUCUGGCUAGAGUCCGGAAGAGGAGAGUGGAAUUCCUGGUGUAGCGGUGAAAUGCGCAGAUAUCAGGAAGAACACCAGUGGCGAAGGCGACGUGCUGGGUUGCAACUGACGCUGAGAUGCGAAAGUGUGGGGAGCAAACGGG